rnacentral:lncRNA from 1 species
CAUUAGUCUCUUGGUGUUUGCAGGAGGGAUUGUGGAGCCAAUGAGGCCAGGUUUCCAUUUCUUCUAAGCCAUGGGAAGCCUGAGAAGUACAAGCGUUUUCCCUACUCUUAGUUGAUGAAUUUUCACCUAUACCAAACGUUUGAGUACAGGAGCAGUCCUGAAAUCCUGCCUCUCCCCACCCCACCAGGCCUGGCUAGCAAGUCUUGAGAAAGAAGGAGUCCUGAUGUUUUCUUGGACACAGAACAAGGUUAUUUGGCACUUUUCCCUUUCCUGUGACCCCCGGGAGAGAAGGCUGCGGGCAGAUUAUUAGAGCAUUUGAGUGUGUGGGUUUGCCUGGAAGCGACAGCUAGCAAAGGUUGAAGAUGAGAAUAAUAAUAAUAAAGCACGCUUGGCUUGUAGAGCUCUGAGCAGAACAGCAUUACUCUCAACCAGAUUUUAUUUCUUGCUAAUUUUAUCUGAUUCCACUUGAUUAUAGAGUUCAUUGAAUUUAAAAUGUUGGGGCUGGGGGUCACUGCUCCAUGCUACCCUUCAGAAACGUCAACAAAAAGAGCACCCCAGAAACCCUUGACUGCCACCCGUGCAAAUACAUUACCCUUCAUCGUGACAGAUUUGCUCCAGUAAUUACAAUCACCUUUUCUUCAGUCUAUGUCUGGGAGCAUUUCUAGAACACUUAAUGCCAUACUACCCAAGGAAAAGCCCUUUCUGGUGUAAUGGAGGCAAUGUAAAAUAUGUGCUUUCAUGUCAAGUAAAAAUUUAUGACAUUCACACAAAGAGGGGUAUUUGUUUCCUAUGUGUCUGCAUCUCUGCUUUCUGUUGUUAUUGAUGAACGGGAAAAG